ensembl:lncRNA
AAUUAUUAUUAUUAACAGAAAUGAAUUGGACAGCCCAGGAUUUCUUACAGGUCCAACGGGCUCAGCUACCAGUAAUGGAAGGCACCUUUGUAAACAUAUGUUAAGAUGGAGGUUUUCAGCUAAUUCGUAAUUCAAGAGCACAUUACUUGUCUGUUGCAAUAAAUCCAGUGAGACUUUUGUUAAAAAUGGAGUGGGAAGAACAUUUGUGCUGUCUUUAGUAAUAGAGCAAUGAGUUUGAGUAAAUUUGAGGCUGCUCGUGCAGGCUGCACGCGAAGGGCCCCCCGUGGCUCUCAGUUCCAGAGCCUUUAAUGAUGCGAGAGAAAACUGCUUGGGGAGAGAAUGAAAGCCGAGCAGUUUGAUUCAGGGAACGCCACUGGUUGGAGCUUUUUGGAAAACAGCAUUGAGUUACAAGUAAUCAGAUGAGUUGAAGCAUAGCAAAAAAGAAAUGGAGAAGUUGUGUUAGUCCGUCUAGUCUCAGAGCGCCCGUGUGCUUCGGUCGGUACUUUAAAGUACAGAAGGAUGGACCAUAGAAUAUCAGCCCACGGGGCAAUGUGGUUAUCCCAACGAUCAGUGUUCUUCAGGCGUGUGUUUCCCAGUGAGUCACUGCUGGACAACUUGUUCUAGAGGCAGGAAACUGCAUCUGAGAGUGAUGGAGCACCCUUGUGAUCGCCUCGGCAAACGAGCGUCAUGCUCUUUGCGCAGCUGUUUCCUUAACUGAUUCAUGAAGAAAAACUCUCCCUCCUUACAGCCUUUUGCUCCUCAGUGCAGGCAGUUGCAAUUUUGCUCUGUGAAGAACUUUGCCACUGGAGUAACGUGCUUGCUAGAGGAACUGCCACCACGAGGUCCGCCUGCUGGCACAGGAUGGCCUCAGGGCGGUAACGCUGGGGCUGGACACCAUCCCUUGCCUCCAGCGCUGGGUGUUGUCCCACUCAUCAAGCUGUGUUUCCUUACUCUGUUUCCAGGAGGGAGACAAAAUACAGCAGUCCACACACAUUUGUUGUGUGAUGACUACAGA